GCUGGGCACGGUGAUGCUUGCCUAUAAUCCCAGCGACUUAGGAGGCUGAGGCAGGAGGAUCACAAGUUCAAAGCCAGCCUCAGCAAUUUAUCAAGGUCCUAAGCAACUUAGUGAGACCUUGUCUCAA
rnacentral:sRNA from 1 species